UUAAGCGACUAAGCGUACACGGUGGAUGCCCUGGCAGUCAGAGGCGAUGAAGGACGUGCUAAUCUGCGAAAAGCGUCGGUAAGGUGAUAUGAACCGUUAUAACCGGCGAUGUCCGAAUGGGGAAACCCAGUGCAAUUCGUUGCACUAUCGUUAACUGAAUACAUAGGUUAACGAGGCGAACCGGGGGAACUGAAACAUCUAAGUACCCCGAGGAAAAGAAAUCAACCGAGAUUCCCCCAGUAGCGGCGAGCGAACGGGGAGCAGCCCAGAGUCUGAAUCAGCUUGUGUGUUAGUGGAACGGUCUGGAAAGUCCGACGGUACAGGGUGAUAGUCCCGUACACCAAAAUGCACAGGCUGUGAACUCGAAGAGUAGGGCGGGACACGUGGUAUCCUGUCUGAAUAUGGGGGGACCAUCCUCCAAGGCUAAAUACUCCUGACUGACCGAUAGUGAACCAGUACCGUGAGGGAAAGGCGAAAAGAACCCCGGCGAGGGGAGUGAAAAAGAACCUGAAACCGUGUACGUACAAGCAGUGGGAGCACCUUCGGGUGUGACUGCGUACCUUUUGUAUAAUGGGUCAGCGACUUAUAUUCUGUAGCAAGGUUAACCGUAUAGGGGAGCCGCAGGGAAACCGAGUCUUAACUGGGCGUUAAGUUGCAGGGUAUAGACCCGAAACCCGGUGAUCUAGCCAUGGGCAGGUUGAAGGUUGGGUAACACUAACUGGAGGACCGAACCGACUAAUGUUGAAAAAUUAGCGGAUGACUUGUGGCUGGGGGUGAAAGGCCAAUCAAACCGGGAGAUAGCUGGUUCUCCCCGAAAGCUAUUUAGGUAGCGCCUCGUGAAUUCAUCUUCGGGGGUAGAGCACUGUUUCGGCUAGGGGGUCAUCCCGACUUACCAACCCGAUGCAAACUACGAAUACCGAAGAAUGUUAUCACGGGAGACACACGGCGGGUGCUAACGUCCGUCGUGAAGAGGGAAACAACCCAGACCGCCAGCUAAGGUCCCAAAGUCAUGGUUAAGUGGGAAACGAUGUGGGAAGGCACAGACAGCCAGGAUGUUGGCUUAGAAGCAGCCAUCAUUUAAAGAAAGCGUAAUAGCUCACUGGUCGAGUCGGCCUGCGCGGAAGAUGUAACGGGGCUAAACCAUGCACCGAAGCUGCGGCAGCGACACUAUGUGUUGUUGGGUAGGGGAGCGUUCUGUAAGCCUGCGAAGGUGACCUGUGAGGGUUGCUGGAGGUAUCAGAAGUGCGAAUGCUGACAUAAGUAACGAUAAAGCGGGUGAAAAGCCCGCUCGCCGGAAGACCAAGGGUUCCUGUCCAACGUUAAUCGGGGCAGGGUGAGUCGACCCCUAAGGCGAGGCCGAAAGGCGUAGUCGAUGGGAAACAGGUUAAUAUUCCUGUACUUGGUGUUACUGCGAAGGGGGGACGGAGAAGGCUAUGUUAGCCGGGCGACGGUUGUCCCGGUUUAAGCAUGUAGGCUGGUUAUCCAGGCAAAUCCGGAUAAUCAAGGCUGAGGUGUGAUGACGAGGCACUACGGUGCUGAAGUAACAAAUGCCCUGCUUCCAGGAAAAGCCUCUAAGCAUCAGGUAACAUUAAAUCGUACCCCAAACCGACACAGGUGGUCAGGUAGAGAAUACCAAGGCGCUUGAGAGAACUCGGGUGAAGGAACUAGGCAAAAUGGUGCCGUAACUUCGGGAGAAGGCACGCUGGUGUGUAGGUGAAGCCCCUGCGGGUGGAGCUGAGACCAGUCGAAGAUACCAGCUGGCUGCAACUGUUUAUUAAAAACACAGCACUGUGCAAACACGAAAGUGGACGUAUACGGUGUGACGCCUGCCCGGUGCCGGAAGGUUAAUUGAUGGGGUUAUCCGUAAGGAGAAGCUCUUGAUCGAAGCCCCGGUAAACGGCGGCCGUAACUAUAACGGUCCUAAGGUAGCGAAAUUCCUUGUCGGGUAAGUUCCGACCUGCACGAAUGGCGUAAUGAUGGCCAGGCUGUCUCCACCCGAGACUCAGUGAAAUUGAACUCGCUGUGAAGAUGCAGUGUACCCGCGGCAAGACGGAAAGACCCCGUGAACCUUUACUAUAGCUUGACACUGAACAUUGAGCCUUGAUGUGUAGGAUAGGUGGGAGGCUUUGAAGCGUGGACGCCAGUCUGCGUGGAGCCAACCUUGAAAUACCACCCUUUAAUGUUUGAUGUUCUAACGUUGGCCCCUUACCGGGGUUGCGGACAGUGUCUGGUGGGUAGUUUGACUGGGGCGGUCUCCUCCCAAAGCGUAACGGAGGAGCACGAAGGUUAGCUAAUCCUGGUCGGACAUCAGGAGGUUAGUGCAAUGGCAUAAGCUAGCUUGACUGCGAGCGUGACGGCGCGAGCAGGUGCGAAAGCAGGUCAUAGUGAUCCGGUGGUUCUGAAUGGAAGGGCCAUCGCUCAACGGAUAAAAGGUACUCCGGGGAUAACAGGCUGAUACCGCCCAAGAGUUCAUAUCGACGGCGGUGUUUGGCACCUCGAUGUCGGCUCAUCACAUCCUGGGGCUGAAGUAGGUCCCAAGGGUAUGGCUGUUCGCCAUUUAAAGUGGUACGCGAGCUGGGUUUAGAACGUCGUGAGACAGUUCGGUCCCUAUCUGCCGUGGGCGCUGGAGAAUUGAGGGGGGCUGCUCCUAGUACGAGAGGACCGGAGUGGACGCAUCACUGGUGUUCGGGUUGUCAUGCCAAUGGCACUGCCCGGUAGCUAAAUGCGGAAGAGAUAAGUGCUGAAAGCAUCUAAGCACGAAACUUGCCCCGAGAUGAGUUCUCCCUGAGACUUUAAGUCUCCUGAAGGAACGUUGAAGACGACGACGUUGAUAGGCCGGGUGUGUAAGCGCAGCGAUGCGUUGAGCUAACCGGUACUAAUGAACCGUGAGGCUUAACCUU
rnacentral:rRNA from 1 species